GUGCCCUUCACCUUGCAUGGGAAUAAGGGGGGGUGAGGGGGGAUGCCCCUCUGCCUCCCCCUUCUCAAAAAGUGUGGUAAUGAGAAAUCGAAAAAAUGGUAGAGUAGAAUAUAGUCUUGUGUUGACUGUAUCGACUAACCAAGAGGAAGUAUGGUCGCCAUCCAGAGGUGGGGGAGAAGCCUAUGUUGGAAAGGAGCCAAGUGUUGUAACCAGUCGCCCUGUGCAGCAUGUGCUAAAAGGAGUUGUUGCAGUCCAGAAGACGUGAUUGGUGUGUGAUAAUCCAGAGGGACAUUAACGCUCGAGUGAAUGUUGGAAAUGAGAGGCAGUAAAGGUGUAAGUAUUGAAGUUGUACCUAUACUUUGUUAUAAUUUGAAGAGUAGAGUAUUUGUAACAUUGACGUAUUGUUUUUUUGUUUUCAUGUUGGUGGUGGAGGAAUAUGGGCGAAUUGUUGAGAGGAGCGCGUCGACACUGGAUCCGGUGAUGUCAAAUUGUGCAAUGUAUUAUUUGAAGGUUUGAGGAUGGAGUGGUGGUGGGUAGUGCCGUAACCAGGUUGCAGAAAGGGUGGACUAUUACAUGUACGGGCCUGUGCAAUGGACUAGGAGGAGGAGAAGCAGCAGCAGCAGCGGCGGCGGUUUAAGAUAAGUGGUGUGGUGUGUUGCAUCGUGAAUUGUUUGUGAUAGUUUAGGGACAUAGUGCUUUUAGUUGUAAGAAAUUGAGUAUAAUGUAAUUGUUGGAAGACGUGUAUAGUGAUGUAAAUUGUAGGUUAGUUUUGGAUUAGUAUAUGUGGAGAAUGGAUGUAGCAGGUAUUAGGAAUGUAGCGACUAGUGUAGAGGCAUACAGUAUAUAUAUUUGGUGAGUGUGGCGUUGGAGUGGUUUAGGGCGUGAACUAAUGUGUUGAUCUGUUUGUUUUUUAGGCCGGAUUGGAGUUUUUGGAAUGUUAGGCGGCAGUGAUGGUGGAAGAGGCAGUGGUUACUCGGCGACGGAGAUGGGAGCGAAAGGUGGUGCAUCGGUUGUAGAUGUGAGAAAGCAUCGGAAAGAGUGGUGGAUGGAGGCUAUGUAGGAGACGACCAAGUAUUGGGCAUUUACUGUGGAGGUGACGAUGUGGUGGUUAUGAAGAGGACCGCCUUGUAUGUAUGAUGUAUUUGAUGGGAAAGGCCAUGACGAGUUGACGUCCAUUGUUAGUGGGAGACUGUGGCAGUUGUCGGGUAAGAAAUUGGAAUUUGCUAAAUGUUUUCUCCGUUUCAGAUUGUAGUGAUGGGGUGAAGUCGCUUUGGCCAAGUUGCCGUCGAGGAUUACGCGUGUCUGUGAUCUGGGUGUAUGGAGCCGAGAUGUUGUCCUUUGAACGUAUAGCCGUUCUAUGUGAUAGGAGCCGAGAUGAUGUCCUGUGAACGUCUAGCCGUCGUCCGUGUGACUGGAGCCGAGAAGAUGAUGUCCUGUGAACGUCUAGCUGUCGUCCUGUGACUGGAGCCGAGAUGUCCUUUGAAUGUAUAGCUGUCGUUUCAGUGACCGGGGUGUAUGGAACUGAGAUGUUCCAGUGAGUGGGGUGUAUGGAGCGGAGAAGAUGUCCUUUGAACGUAUACCCGUCGUCCCUGUGACUGGAGCUGGGAAGAUGAUGUCCUGUGAAUGUAUAGCUGUUGCACCUGUGACUGGGGUCGAGAAGAUGAUGAUGUCCUUUGAACGUGUAGCUGUCGUCUCGGUGACCGGGGUGUAUGGAGC
rnacentral:lncRNA from 1 species